UACGGAGGGUGCGAGCGUUAAUCGGAAUCACUGGGCGUAAAGGGCGCGUAGGCGGCUAUGCAAGUCAGGUGUGAAAGCCCACGGCUUAACCGUGGAAUUGCAUCUGAAACUGCAUGGCUUGAGUAUGGGAGAGGAAAGUGGAAUUCCCGGUGUAGAGGUGAAAUUCGUAGAUAUCGGGAGGAACACCAGUAGCGAAGGCGACUUUCUGGCCCAAUACUGACGCUGAGGCGCGAAAGCGUGGGGAGCAAACAGG
rnacentral:rRNA from 1 species